rnacentral:rRNA from 1 species
UAUACAUGCAGUCGAACGCGCAGCGAGAGGUGCUUGCACCUUUCAAGCGAGUGGCGAACGGGUGAGUAACACGUGGAUAACCUGCCUCAAGGCUGGGGAUAACAUUUGGAAACAGAUGCUAAUACCGAAUAAAACUUAGUAUCGCAUGAUAUCAAGUUAAAAGGCGCUACGGCGUCACCUAGAGAUGGAUCCGCGGUGCAUUAGUUAGUUGGUGGGGUAAAGGCUUACCAAGACGAUGAUGCAUAGCCGAGUUGAGAGACUGAUCGGCCACAUUGGGACUGAGACACGGCCCAAACUCCUACGGGAGGCUGCAGUAGGGAAUCUUCCACAAUGGGCGCAAGCCUGAUGGAGCAACGCCGCGUGUGUGAUGAAGGCUUUCGGGUCGUAAAGCACUGUUGUAUGGGAAGAAAUGCUAAAAUAGGGAAUGAUUUUAGUUUGACGGUACCAUACCAGAAAGGGACGGCUAAAUACGUGCCAGCAGCCGCGGUAAUACGUAUGUCCCGAGCGUUAUCCGGAUUUAUUGGGCGUAAAGCGAGCGCAGACGGUUGAUUAAGUCUGAUGUGAAAGCCCGGAGCUCAACUCCGGAAUGGCAUUGGAAACUGGUUAACUUGAGUGUUGUAGAGGUAAGUGGAACUCCAUGUGUAGCGGUGGAAUGCGUAGAUAUAUGGAAGAACACCAGUGGCGAAGGCGGCUUACUGGACAACAACUGACGUUGAGGCUCGAAAGUGUGGGUAGCAAACAGGAUUAGAUACCCUGGUAGUCCACACCGUAAACGAUGAAUACUAGGUGUUAGGAGGUUUCCGCCUCUUAGUGCCGAAGCUAACGCAUUAAGUAUUNCG